AGGAUGAACGCUAGCUACAGGCUUAACACAUGCAAGUCGAGGGGCAGCAUGGUCUUAGCUUGCUAAGGCCGAUGGCGACCGGCGCACGGGUGAGUAACACGUAUCCAACCUGCCGUCUACUCUUGGACAGCCUUCUGAAAGGAAGAUUAAUACAAGAUGGCAUCAUGAGUCCGCAUGUUCACAUGAUUAAAGGUAUUCCGGUAGACGAUGGGGAUGCGUUCCAUUAGAUAGUAGGCGGGGUAACGGCCCACCUAGUCUUCGAUGGAUAGGGGUUCUGAGAGGAAGGUCCCCCACAUUGGAACUGAGACACGGUCCAAACUCCUACGGGAGGCAGCAGUGAGGAAUAUUGGUCAAUGGGCGAGAGCCUGAACCAGCCAAGUAGCGUGAAGGAUGACUGCCCUAUGGGUUGUAAACUUCUUUUAUAAAGGAAUAAAGUCGGGUAUGGAUACCCGUUUGCAUGUACUUUAUGAAUAAGGAUCGGCUAACUCCGUGCCAGCAGCCGCGGUAGUACGGAGGAUCCGAGCGUUAUCCGGAUUUAUUGGGUUUAAAGGGAGCGUAGAUGGAUGUUUAAGUCAGUUGCGAAAGUUUGCGGCUCAACCGUAAAAUUGCAGUUGAUACUGGAUAUCUUGAGUGCAGUUGAGGUAGGCGGAAUUCGUGGUGUAGCGGUGAAAUGCUUAGAUAUCACGAAGAACUCCGAUUGCGAAGGCAGCCUGCUAAGCUGCAACUGACAUUGAGGCUCGAAAGUGUGGGUAUCAAACAGGAUUAGAUACCCUGGUAGUCCACACGGUAAACGAUGAAUACUCGCUGUUUGCGAUAUACAGCAAGCGGCCAAGCGAAAGCGUUAAGUAUUCCACCUGGGGAGUACGCCGGCAACGGUGAAACUCAAAGGAAUUGACGGGGGCCCGCACAAGCGGAGGAACAUGUGGUUUAAUUCGAUGAUACGCGAGGAACCUUACCCGGGCUUAAAUUGCAGAUGAAUUACGGUGAAAGCCGUAAGCCGCAAGGCAUCUGUGAAGGUGCUGCAUGGUUGUCGUCAGCUCGUGCCGUGAGGUGUCGGCUUAAGUGCCAUAACGAGCGCAACCCUUGUUGUCAGUUACUAACAGGUUCCGCUGAGGACUCUGACAAGACUGCCAUCGUAAGAUGUGAGGAAGGUGGGGAUGACGUCAAAUCAGCACGGCCCUUACGUCCGGGGCUACACACGUGUUACAAUGGGGGGUACAGAGGGCCGCUACCACGCGAGUGGAUGCCAAUCCCCAAAACCUCUCUCAGUUCGGACUGGAGUCUGCAACCCGACUCCACGAAGCUGGAUUCGCUAGUAAUCGCGCAUCAGCCACGGCGCGGUGAAUACGUUCCCGGGCCUUGUACACACCGCCCGUCAAGCCAUGGGAGCCGGGGGUACCUGAAGUGCGUAACCGCGAGGAGCGCCCUAGGGU
rnacentral:rRNA from 1 species